rnacentral:rRNA from 1 species
UACGGAGGUGGCAAGCGUUGCUCGGAAUUACUGGGCGUAAAGGGCGCGUAGGCGGCCUUCUAAGUCGAACGUGAAAUCCCCGGGCUCAACCCGGGAACUGCGUCCGAGACUGGAAGGCUUGAAUCCGGGAGAGGGAUGUGGAAUUCCUGGUGUAGCGGUGAAAUGCGCAGAUAUCAGGAGGAACACCGGUGGCGAAGGCGGUUCUCUGGGCAUGAUCUGACGCUGAGGAGCGAAAGUGUGGGGAGCGAACAGG